CCAGCUACUGGCCUGGCCAACCAGCUCCGUACAAGCACACACAGCGAGGCAGACGGGGAGACGAGCGAGGAAGGAGAAAAGAAGUCUGAGAAUGUGUGUGUGUGUCUAUGUGGAGGUGGGCGAGUAGGACAUAAAGAGCAAACUAGAGGAAAUAGAAAUUAAAGAUAGGGAGGUCUCAGAAUUAAAUAUAUGAUGUCAAAUUUUCCAAAUAUUUCGCAGUUUGACAUGAAACUUGAAAAGUAUUCUUAUCAAAAGGUGCCAGGAAUAAGAGGCCCAUGCAAAAUCAGACCUCCUUUAUUGUUGUUUGUCAUCGUCACCCUGAAGCUGCCAGUGAGAGCAGGUAUUGUUGCGCAGUGGAGCAACACAAGGCCCUGGUUGCAUUGUUGUGCCAGGAUUUUAAAACAGGCUCGAGUUAUCAAUAGACCACAGACUAUUCAACUCACUCAGCUGUGCCUCUCGAUACACUUCAGAACCUUGCAUGCUGAACAGGCAGCCAUGAUCGCACACAAUUGGACGGCUUCACUGACACACAAAGUGUUCUCAAUGUUGAUCCAGGUCUAUGUCUUAUAGAGAGACCGUAUCAUCAUUUCAGAGCUCAUUUCAUUGUUUUCAUAUAAAGAGUCACGUCUGCAUUUACAGUCACUUCUUUGAAUUUUGCCUUUUAAUGUAAUAAAUUCUUCUCCAUAUUUGUGACUAAUUAACCCGACAUUGUGCUAACCUCAGCAGGAACAAAGUCAAUGAAUUUGGCCGUCGCAGAAAAAGGACGCAGAAAGAAAUGAAAUAACAGACAAGCUAAGGAGAAGACGAGGCCUCAGCUGUGCUCUGCACUGAUCUACACGCUGUGAUCACCUGGAGCAGAAAACCGAAUGUAAAGGCCUUGGGCUGGCUUUGAUAUUUCCAUUGUUCGUUUGUCUGCUAUGACCUGGACUACUUCUAACAGACCUAGACUGGAGGUCAGUGGGAAUCAAAGGAGGAG